UACGUAGGGUGCGAGCGUUAACCGGAAUUACUGGGCGUAAAGGGCGCGUAGGCGGCACUGUUAGUCAGGCGUGAAAUUCCUGGGCUCAACCUGGGGACUGCGCUUGAUACGGCAGAGCUUGAGGAUGGAAGAGGGUCGCGGAAUUCCCGGUGUAGCGGUGAAAAUGCGCAGAUAUCGGGGAGGAACACCUAUGGCGAAAGGCAGCUCGCUGGGGACGUUACUGACGCUGAGACGCGAAAGCGUGGGGAGCAAACAGG
rnacentral:rRNA from 1 species